rnacentral:rRNA from 1 species
UACCCUCGGGAGGGGGAUAACCCCGGGAAACUGGGGCUAAUCCCCCAUAGGCCUGAGGUACUGGAAGGUCCUCAGGCCGAAAGGGGCUCUGCCCGCCCGAGGAUGGGCCGGCGGCCGAUUAGGUAGUUGGUGGGGUAACGGCCCACCAAGCCGAAGAUCGGUACGGGCCAUGAGAGUGGGAGCCCGGAGAUGGACACUGAGACACGGGUCCAGGCCCUACGGGGCGCAGCAGGCGCGAAACCUCCGCAAUGCUCGAAAGAGCGACGGGGGGACCUCCAGUGCCGUGGCAUCGCCACGGCUUUUCCGGAGUGUAAAGAGCUCCGGGAAUAAGGGCUGGGCAAGGCCGGUGGCAGCCGCCGCGGUAAUACCGGCGGCCCGAGUGGUGGCCGCUAUUAUUGGGCCUAAAGCGUCCGUAGCCGGGCCAGUAAGUCCCUGGCGAAAUCCCACGGCUCAACCGUGGGGCUUGCUGGGGAUACUGCUGGCCUUGGGACCGGGAGAGGCGGAGGGUACUCCUGGGGUAGGGGUGAAAUCCUAUAAUCCCAGGAGGACCGCCAGUGGCGAAGGCGCUCCGCUGGAACGGGUCCGACGGUGAGGGACGAAGGCCAGGGGAGCGAACCGGAUUAGAUACCCGGGUAGUCCUGGCUGUAAAGGAUGCAGGCUAGGU